rnacentral:siRNA from 1 species
GGUUGGGUUGCCUGUGUCGCGAAC